AACGAACGCUGGCGGCAGGCUUAACACAUGCAAGUCGAGCGCCCCGAAAGGGGAGCGGCAGACGGGUGAGUAACGCGUGGGAAUGUGCCCUUUGGUCUGGAAUAACUCAGGGAAACUUGAGCUAAUACCGGAUAAGCCCUUCGGGGGAAAGAUUUAUUGCUAUUGGGGCAGCCCGCGUCAGAUUAGCUAGUUGGUGAGGUAAAAGCUCACCAAGGCGAUGAUCUGUAGCUGGUCUGAGAGGACGACCAGCCACACUGGGACUGAGACACGGCCCAGACUCCUACGGGAGGCAGCAGUGGGGAAUAUUGGACAAUGGGGGCAACCCUGAUCCAGCCAUGCCGCGUGAGUGAUGAAGGCCUUAGGGUUGUAAAGCUCUUUUACUCGGGAAGAUAAUGACUGUACCGAGAGAAUAAGCCCCGGCUAACUUCGUGCCAGCAGCCGCGGUAA
rnacentral:rRNA from 1 species